rnacentral:rRNA from 1 species
AUGCGGAUGCUGGGGAAGCGGACGAGAGAUCCGUGUGUCCGGCCGAGGAAGAAGAAGAAAGGUCAUACCGAUCACAGCCCAUCUUCCGGUGGCGGUGGAGGUGGUGGCCUACAGAUUCGGGACGCCGAUGGCUCCGGCGCCGAUCAGCAGCCAUCUGACGGCGUCGUGCAUGUAGAUCCUGCCGAAGGGGAGGCCCUACCGGUCGCGAAGAAGAAGAAGGACCCCCCGGUCGUUUCCCCAUCUGAAUCGGGCGGUGGUGGCCUGGAUGCAGAGGAUUCUGGCACCCUCGGAGAUCCUGCCGCCGGCAAGGACCCCACGGUCGUCUCACCAUCAUCAGGAACCUCCACGAAGAAGAAGAGGACGAAAUCUAAGAAGAAAAAACCCAAGGAUCAAGACCAGAUGAGCUCACCUGCAGGGGCUGCCGAGAACACCAGCGCUCUUGGAGACCUGGUCGCCGGCAAGAACCCUGCGGUCGUCUCCCCGCCAUCCUCGUGCUCUGUGAAGCCCAAGACAACCAAGGACCAUGCCCAGCCAAGCUCACCUGCAGGUUCUGCGGGGAACUCCGGUGCUCUUGGAGAUCUGGUCGCCGGCAAGGAUCUCACGGAAUAUGGCAACCCAGGGCACAUGUCCUUUGUGUGGAUGCCAAGACUCGUGGCGGCACACUUUGAUCUCAUGUACGAUGUCGAGGCCAAGACAACCAAGGACCAUGCCCAGCCAAGCUCACCUGCAGGCUCUGCGGGGAACCCUUCUCCUAAGAAGGAGGAGAGGUCGCCUUCUCCUAAGAAGGAGGAGAGCAGCCGCAGCACGAACCCUUUCAAGAAGGCAUAUGGCAAGAAGUCGAAAGCUCAGCUAAACAAGCACCGUGAUGCUGCUAUUCACUUGAAGAACUUCUUGCGGACCAAUGGUGGACUGUUGAUCGAGUCCAUGUGGACUAACAACCAUUUUACCUUGGAGAUUUCUUUUUUUGAUCUGUGCAAGUUUGACAAGAAAGCUGCACACAAAAUGUGUAAUGGCUAUGACAGAAGCCAUCGCCACCUGCUUCUCAGCCAUGGAGAGUCCGCCGGUUUCUUCUCACCUCCGGGCGCCGCAUCUUCCCUCAGUCGCAACUCCCCUGCACCACCACCGCCACCCCCUGGCACAGCCGCUGCACCACUCCGCCUCUGUUUCCGCCACAACGGCUGCAGCGUGUACAUGGUCAUGUUUGGGAUCGUCUUCUCCCAGCUCCCCAACCUCAACCUCAUGGAGCGUCACGGUGCUGAAGACGGCACUGCCGGUGCCACGGCCGGCGUCGAGGUCGAAGGCCCCGAGCGGCGUGGGCACGCGUUGUUGGUCCACGGCAUGCCGGUGGUCCGGAACCGGAAGUAGAUUAGCCUUAUUCGCCACUACGGCGCCGGCAACUUCACCGCCUCCUACGCCAGCGACACGUUUCUGUGCUCAAACGACACCGCACCGGCCACACCGGCAUCCGCUGCCGCGGCGGCCGCGCUGGUGCGCAACGUCACGGCGACCGUGCCGGGGGCGAGGGGGUACUACGGCGAAGCCGACCGGCGCGCGGGUGUACGCGGCGGCACAGUGCUGGAAGUCGCUGAACGCCACCGCAUGCGCGGCCGUGUGGGUGCAGCACAAGAACCUCGUCAAGCUCCUCGGGUGCAGCAUCAGAGGGUCUACGAGUACCUCUGCAACACCAGCCUCGAUCACUACCUCUUUGACGCUUUCAAGAAGAAUGCGUUGGAUUGGGAGCGGCUGCCGGAGAUCAUCCUCGGUGUGGUGGAGGGUUUGUCAUACCUCCACAGUGGCUCCGAGGUCAGGAUCAUACAUAGAGACAUAAGGCCAGCAUGCAAUGUGAUGUUGGAUGAGAGGUUCAGGCCUAACAUAGGCGAUUAUGGCCUAGCGAGGAACUCUGUAGCGUCAUCAGCUGAGGGACUGUCCCUCAUGUCACAGAUAUGGAAGCACUACAACACCGACACCCUGAUGGAUAUCCUGGACCCAAACCUCCGCGACCAAUGCUAG